GAACUCCUGGGCUCAAGCGAUCCGCCCACCUCGGUCUUCGAAAGUGCUGGGAUUCCAGGCGUGAGCCGCCGCGCCGGCCUUAACAGCGCAUUUUCACCAGCCCCGCCCCGGCCGCGCGCGGCACUGGAAACCCCAGCGCCUUCUGGACGGCGAGGGUGACGCACUGGCCCUCUUCCUCGGUGUCCUCAGGUGCGUGGCGGCGGCAGUGAGAAUGAGUUCUUCGAGAUCGCCGGGAGACCACACAAUAACGACGAAGUUACUUGCCGGGCUACCCGCCGAGACUUGAAAACUUCGCGGCGACUUCUCUCGCCGGCCUUAGCAUCGCCCCCAUUUUUCAGGUUACAGGACAGGCCUGCAACUGCAAAACGCUUUGUAAACCACAGGGCCCCGCGCGGGUGUGCGCCACUGGGUUAGCUGAGCUGCAGCCCGGGCCGGGCGGGCUGGGACGUGAGCAAGCCGGGGGAGACGGGAGAGCCAUGGGGAGCCAGAUCCCACCUUCGCGUGACCUUGGGCAAAUCACAACCUCGCCUAAGGCCCGGAAUGACUCUGCGCGGAGAGGAAGAGCACUGAGUGCGGGAGGGCAUCGACGUUUUGGUGUUGGUUGCUCUCGUAUCGUGAUUUCUUCUGAGUCUCAAAACUCUUUGCAGCCCCCACUGGUCGCGUCCGGCGCUGGAGGAGCCCAGUCAGCCGGCGCCUGCCGGGUUAGCACGUGGACUCCGAGGGGCCAACUAUCAGCUUUCCCUGACAAAAUGCCUUUGAGCUCCCCCACAGCUCUGAAACUCCAGCUUGGGAGCAGGGAGAGUGCAAUCUGUGACCUGUAAAGGGGCGCUGGGCAAAAGGGCCCGAGAGAAGGCGUCCUUUCCAUUCCCUUCCCAUCUCAAGCUGAGUUCAGAAAUGACACGAAAUAAUUUAAUCAACUAUCAGUCAAGGUCGGGCUCACGCCUGUAAUCCCAGCAGUUUGGGAGGCCGAGGUGGGCGGAUCACCUGAGGACAGGAGUUCGAGACCAGCCUGACCAACAUGACGAAGCCCCGUCUCUACUAAAAAUACAAAAAUUAGCCAGCGGUGGUGGUGCGCACCUGUAGUCUCAGCUACUUGGGAGGCUGAGGCCAGAGAAUCGCUUGAGCCCGCGAGGUCGAGGCUGCAGUGAGCCGAGAUCACACCACUGCACUCCAACCUGGAUGACAGAGGGAGACUCUGUCUCAAAAAAUAAUAAAUAAAUAAAUAAAUAAAUAAACUAUCGGUCAAG
rnacentral:lncRNA from 1 species